UACGGAGGGCGCAAGCGUUGUCCGGAUUCAUUGGGUUUAAAGGGUACGUAGGCGGUUCGAUAAGUCAGUGGUGAAAUUCGGCAGCUUAACUAUCGGCGUGCCAUUGAUACUGUCAAACUUGAAUGGAAUAGAGGUUGGCGGAAUUGGCAGUGUAGCGGUGAAAUGCAUAGAUACUACCAAGAACACCGAAAGCGAAGGCAGCUAACUGGAUUUGUAUUGACGCUGAGGUACGAGAGCAUGGGGAUCAAACAGG
rnacentral:rRNA from 1 species